ACCAAACAGCACUGGCCAAUGAGGCUGGAAUCAGUUCUAGUUACUUCUGGCAGUGGCAGGCUGCUCUCUGCUCUAAGAGCAUGGCCUUUUCCUCUUUACAGUGGGGAUUACCUGGCUAUCCAACAGAACAGAGAAUGGAAGAACUAGAGGGAAACUCACGGGGCUGGUGGGACAGCAACCCACAGCCUCAUCAGCAGGACGUCGCUGGUGACCGCACAGGGCACUGCCAGAGGAACAGCAGUAUCAACAUCUUACACUAAACGAGAAACUAUGGCUGAAGGAAGGGAAG
rnacentral:lncRNA from 1 species